UUCUGUUUCAGAGGCAAAUGGGGAAGCCAAAGGGGCAGAACAGACAGUGGGCUGCAGGGCAGAACGAGAGCCAGGGGAGGAGAAAGGGAAUGAACCAAAGUGCAGAGAAGUGAUGGCUUUGAGGGCUUCCAAGGACCAUCAUCAGGGAGAAAAUAAAGAAGUUUUCUCGUGGCAGUGAGGUGUUCUACAGUGAAAAAGAGCUGGGAACCUAGCCUGGAUUUUUCUACCCUAAGGAAGACACAAAACCUCCUGAACCUCCAACCUUGAAGCCUUCCCCCUGCCCCAGCCCGGCUCACAACGCUGCUGCUGUAUGCCCAUGAGGUAAGCUCUUCCAUGCCAAAGGCAACAGCGUUCACCCACCAAUCACCCCAAGCGAGCCCCUGGCCCCAUUUUGGGAAUGGCAGCAAACCCCUCACCUCGGAACCAAGCUCUCACCUCAGUGCUCAAUGUUUGCAGGAGAGGUUGUUCUGGGAUCAACACCCUUGUUUUUGGGUGCUGCUCCCCAUAUUUGUUAGGAAUUGCUGAAUUGCGGUCCCAUUGAUGGCUGUUCUGAAAGGCAAAGGUGCAAACCUUGCACCAGAUUGCUGGCUGAAAUGGUACUUUGCUCCCUUUUUCUUGCCUUUUGUCAUCUUCUGGGAUUAAAAAAAAAACAACAAACCCACAACUGUGUACAUGAAGAAUACAUCUGUAUAAGUAAGUGAAAACUCCUGCAUUAGAAAAAAUGUGACUGUACAAAUUCUGCACAAUUAGAAAUCUCCACGUGAGCAGAGCCACAGAGUGGACUGUAUGGUUUUGAUCAGGACUAAAUUGCAUUAAAAAAGGCUUGUUAAU
rnacentral:lncRNA from 7 species